UAAUAUAAAAAAUUUCUUGGUUUAUUGAUAUUUUCGUUAAAUAAUAUUUCACUAAUUCGUUGUAAAAUACCAUAUUUCUAGAUUCUCUAUCCUAAUCGCAUCGGUCAUUGAAUAUAAUUACAAUUUUAGAAUCUCAUUGCCGGUAUCUUUAUUUUGUAUCUUGUAUCCUUCAACUCAAACACGAAUAGUCUAUGCAUAAAUAACUUGCAAGAAGAAAUGCACAUAUAAAAAUUUACCUGUUUAAAACGAGUUUAUGGUCAAAGUAAUAAGAUUAUUUAAGAUAAUGGAAAUAAUUUUUUAAAAAUUAUCAGUUUUGUAAGAAACCAACUGGUAUUUUUUCCAUGCAGUUAAUAUUACAAAUUAAUAAAUGAAUAAAUAAAUAAAAAUAAAUGAUCCAUAUAAUAGGUGAUUAAUUUUAGAAUCAUUAUUUAUUUAAGCUUUACAAAACAAUUUCUGGAUUCCGAUUACUUGUCAUAUAUAUUUUUUUUUAUAAUUCUAAUCGUGAAAAAAGCGUAAAAAAGUAAUUAAUGACAAAGGAACAAACAAGAAAAUAAUGAAGAUCGUCCGUGUAUAUUUUUCCUUUUUAUCCCCGUCACAUUUAAUUGACGUACCUUUAAUUGAGAAUCGACAGAUAUAAACAAAAAUAAAACCGUAGCCGGUCCAUCUCUAUUUAGCGGUGGUCACGUUGAGAUGCCAUGUCCAGAGAACGUUCUCAUGGAUCCAGCUCGCGGCUUAAUAUCACUGCUUGUUGGAUGUUAGCAUAAGCAAACACAGGGGGCUCGAAUAGUAAACCCGUGUGGAUAAAUUGUCGGCCUAUCGAAAAGUAGAAGAAUGAAAAGGGCGAAAGCUGCUCAAGCAAUGACUGCCUUUAACAAAAGGACCCCUUUUCAAUAGCUUUUUAUCUUGCAAUAAGUACUUUCAAAAGAAUAAAUUUUCUGAAUAUUUU